CGACCAAGCUUGCAUUUCAGAAGUUCUCAGUGGAAUUUGCAAUGAUCAGAAUUGACUGAAUUAAGAACUUGUAUAUUUCUGGUGGAUAUCAACCAUACAAGAAUCAACUUUAACAGUAAAAAUAAAAAAAUAUCAACCUUAGAACCAUGCGUCUUUCACAUAUUUCCGACUGCACAGUCAACAUAGGUUUACAGUUCUCGAUUGCUUGACUGGGCUACGCUAUCGAUCCUACACAUCAAUAUGUUCUUC